rnacentral:rRNA from 1 species
AUUGAACGCUGGCGGCAUGCUUUACACAUGCAAGUCGAACGGUAACAGGCCGCAAGGUGCUGACGAGUGGCGAACGGGUGAGUAAUGCAUCGGAACGUGCCCAGUCGUGGGGGAUAACGCAGCGAAAGCUGCGCUAAUACCGCAUACGAUCUAUGGAUGAAAGCGGGGGACCGUAAGGCCUCGCGCGAUUGGAGCGGCCGAUGUCAGAUUAGGUAGUUGGUGGGGUAAAGGCUCACCAAGCCAACGAUCUGUAGCUGGUCUGAGAGGACGACCAGCCACACUGGGACUGAGACACGGCCCAGACUCCUACGGGAGGCAGCAGUGGGGAAUUUUGGACAAUGGGCGCAAGCCUGAUCCAGCAAUGCCGCGUGCAGGAAGAAGGCCCUCUGGGUUGUAAACUGCUUUUGAUAGGGAACAAAUGCCACUUGCGAGUGGAGCUGAGUGUACCUAUAGAAUAAGCACCGGCU